GGGGCUGUUCGGUUUUGACAGCAAGAUGAGUGGUUAUGUAAGCAUGCCGAGCCUUGCGAUGACGCUCGUUAAUCUUGAUCGUAAACAUUAAUUGGCGAAACUAAUUUUGCUCUCGCUGCUUAGUCGAAGUACAGUAGACAAGCUUCAUCCUUUCACAAGGUGAGAGGACGAGACAUCUCACGAGUGGACACGCCUGAUUCCGGCUCGAUCAUGAGGUGCUAAUCAAAUUCGGGAUAAUUUUGUGAAUGCUUCGAUCACAAAAUGAAAAUUUAGAAGAUAAGGUCGAAUUUUGGGUGUCUGUUCCCUGAUUUGGCACGAAAAACAACAAUAGAAUAAGCAUGUAGAAAGCCUGAUUGUUCCUUGUUUGGACGAGGGUUCGACCCCCUCCAGCUCCACUA
rnacentral:tmRNA from 1 species